GACGAACGCUGGCGGCGUGCUUAACACAUGCAAGUCGAACGGAAAGGCCCUGCUUUUGUGGGGUGCUCGAGUGGCGAACGGGUGAGUAACACGUGAGUAACCUGCCCUUGACUUUGGGAUAACUUCAGGAAACUGGGGCUAAUACCGGAUAGGAGCUCCUGCUGCAUGGUGGGGGUUGGAAAGUUUCGGCGGUUGGGGAUGGACUCGCGGCUUAUCAGCUUGUUGGUGGGGUAGUGGCUUACCAAGGCUUUGACGGGUAGUCGGCCUUGGAGGGUGACCGGCCACAUUGGGACUGAGAUACGGCCCAGACUCCUACGGGAGGCAGCAGUGGGGAACAUUGCACAAUGGGCGGAAGCCUGAUGCAGAAACGCCGCGUGCGGGAUGACGGCCUUCGGGUUGUAAACCGCUUUCGCCUGUGACGAAGCGUGAGUGACGGUAAUGGGUAAAGAAGCACCGGCUAACUACGUG
rnacentral:rRNA from 1 species